ensembl:lncRNA
GGCGGGGGUCGGCCCUCCCGGGGGUCGUGGUCAGGGGGAUCGGCCCUCCCGGGGUGGGGCGGGGUCAGCCACGGCGGCGAGGGAGGCGGAGGAUGGCUGUGCGCGGCGGCGACGGGCCGAGGCUCCUGCCCGGACGACGCACCUCACGGCGGCGCCAGGACAGCCGGGCUGCACGGCCGGGGCUUCGCCCAGAGGCUGCACAGACACUGCGUGCUGACCGCUGGCCGGCGACCGCGGACACCGCGGGGUCCCAGCCGCGGCGUCUCGGCCGCUCCCCCGGCGGCGGCGCGGGGCGUGCGCCUCCCGGCGAGCAGCUCGAGCCGCCGGGCCUCCCAGCCAGCCCCGCCUGUGAGGACGCCAGGACCCCGUCGUCCCGUCGCCGGGCGGCCCCGGGAUCCCAAGAUGCCUGCGGUGAAAGCUCUUCCGCAGGAAGCAGCCCAGUGCAGUGUCCCUUGCCUGAGAGGGGAGGUGCCGCCAGCCCCGCCGGGCCAGGCCAGGCCUCCGCAGAGGGCUCCCCUGUGCCUUUGCCUUGUGGAUGCCGAGCUUCUCCGGGAGGAGGGACCCAUGACUCUGGACGUGAUUCCCCACACCUCCCGUUAGCUGCAAUAUCGCUGCUUUGUGAGACGACUGCUUCCGGUGGAGAGGCUGACUCACCCGCCAGCAGGGAGCCCGCUUUGGUCUCAGUAAGAAUUCCCUGGAAGAAUACCAAAUGGCGGAACCUCACGGACUGGACGGACGUGCUGUUGAAAUCCCAACUAGUUAAUGUUUCCUGGGUUUCUUUCUUUCAGAAAGGACAGAACCAAACUAACUAAGGCUUAAUUUUCUCUGACCCUUAAUUUGAACGCAGCUGUUCCUUUGUUUUGACUGAUCCUCCACGGCUUUGACAAGUAGAAAUGGCAAGCCACAGGAGAUACUGGGGGACACGAGGAAGCCGUUUGGUGUAAACCUAAUUCGGCCCGGCUUUGUUUUUCCACAAGGCCUGACGUGGCCGUUGAGCAUGCGCUGUACAUCUGCUUAAGCAUUUGCUGUGUCCCGCAGACAAGAACAAAGGCCCUUAAGAUAAAGGUGCAACUUCCCCCACAUGGCAUUUCCUUAAGGACAAGCAUCUCUCCCUGGGCUGGGAACUGAUUGCUAUGCUCACCUGUGACCACCCAGCUCAGGACAACAGACCUGCCACCCUGCUGUGUCCACCAGGACACCAGACCUACUACCUGCUGUGUCUGUCCAUCGCUGUUCCGACAGAGCGGUCUCAUGACUAUUGGAAAAGGGACAUUUCAAGCACAUGUGAAACAUGCUCUUUGGGUGUAUAUAACCACUCUGUACACCCCACGUCUUCGGUGCCCUUCCUUCCUUGGGGAAGGAAGACUCGGGCCAUGGUCCUCACAUUUUGGCUCAGAAUAAACUCACCCAAAUUUUCAUUUCUAGAUUGGUUAUGGAUUGUUUUUGUUGACAACUUGCUCUUCACAAGGCUAAGGAAGUUGGUCCACACCUUGCCUGGGUCUGUGUGGACACAUCUCCACUAACACACGCACACCCACAUCAGCUCCGUGUGUAAGCACAUGGCAUAAUGUAAAUGUUUCACGUAGAGAAUGUAUUGUGGUAGUUUAAGGUGUGUCCUCUGUCUUCCUGGUCGCACUCUUAGGUAUUCACGCAGUGCGUUACAAUUUAGGUCACGCCGCCUGCCUGCGAUUGGUGCCUCCUGGACGGUGAUUACAGUGGAUCCCUCCCAGGCCAAGGGAGCUGGAGCUUCUCCUAGACUCGCUAGGCUGGUACACCAGCGGGGGUUUCCCGCAAAGCCCCCAUUCAGCAGAAGCAUGGCCUUCGGGAUCAGAUGCUGCCUCAGGAUGUGGGGACAGAGUGCCUGCUGGUGGGCCCUUCCCCCAUCACACUCCAACCCCCCCCGACCCCGGAAUUUUACAGUAUUUCAUGGUGCUGAUUUCUCAUUCUGAUCUUCCGGGGCUGGAGCGGUACCAGCAUGUGACUUGUUCCUCCUCCUAUAUCCAUCUUCCUUCAAGUAGAAAAUCAAGAAAAAGAAAUGCAGUGCCUCAUUACUCAGCCGUUUCGGUUGAGUGUUUUCUGGUGCAGAUAUUCCAGAAGCACAUGUCUUGGCGGAAAGACACGAAAGGCUGCCUCCUGCAGUUUUGGGAGCCCACUGACUCCCAUGAUAAAGUGCGGCAACUUGGUACGUGAGGAAUUAUUUCCCUUUAAUAUGCUUUACACUUCUUCUGAUCUUGAAGGCAAAAAGAAAGUAAUGUCUGUGCUUAAGUCGAUCCAGCAAGCCGUGGCCUGGGAUAAAUGAAGGAGCUCUGACUAGCGGGAUUUGGCUCACCGCUGACCAGGGGACCCAAGGCCAGCGUGCCUGCACAGCCUCCACGGUGGUCUUGGAGAAUGAAGGAUGGGGCUGAUGCGGGAAAGGGACCCCGCCCGGCUGCAGUGUCUGCAUGGAGAAGGACGGCAGCCUCCUGAGCAGACCCACACCCUGAGUCCCUGGUGGUGGCUGCCGGCAGAGAGCACAGCUCCUUGUGGGACUGGGGCCCAGGGGGAAGAUCCAUGAUGCUGGGGGCUC